CCCGCCCGGGUCCGUGGUUGCGUCGGAUCACGGUGCUCCGCCGGAGCGCCGCCGGUCCGGCAAGCCGAUGCCAGGCGCAGGCGAAACGGCCCACGUAAGGCGACUUCUCGUCGACCGAUCACGGUGCGCCUUAGAGGUAAGUCCUGCCUCGCCGGGGGAUCAGACAUCCUCCGGUCUGGGAGAAGGGCAGUAGUGGCGAGAGCGCCGCGAGACCCUCAGCAGGCGGAUGUGGGGACGAAGACCAGGUCGGCCGGGCGGG
rnacentral:ncRNA from 22 species